ensembl:snRNA U1 U1 spliceosomal RNA
AUACUUACCUGGCAGGGGAGAUACCAUGAUCACGAAGGUGGUUUUCCCAGGGCGAGGCUUAUCCAUUGCACUCCGGAUGUGCUGACCCCUGAGAUUUCCCCAAAUGUGGGAAACUCGACUGCAUAAUUUGUGGUAGUGGGGGACUGCGUUCGCGCUUAA